rnacentral:rRNA from 1 species
AACGAACGCUGGCGGCAGGCUUAACACAUGCAAGUCGAACGCCCCGCAAGGGGAGUGGCAGACUGGUGAGUAACGCGUGGGAACAUACCCUUUUCUACGGAAUAGCUCUGGGAAACUGGAAUUAAUACCGUAUACGCCCUACGGGGGAAAGAUUUAUCGGGGAAGGAUUGGCCCGCGUUGGAUUAGCUAGUUGGUGGGGUAAAGGCCUACCAAGGCGACGAUCCAUAGCUGGUCUGAGAGGAUGAUCAGCCACAUUGGGACUGAGACACGGCCCAAACUCCUACGGGAGGCAGCAGUGGGGAAUAUUGGACAAUGGGCGCAAGCCUGAUCCAGCCAUGCCGCGUGAGUGAUGAAGGCCUUAGGGUUGUAAAGCUCUUUCACCGAUGAAGAUAAUGACGGUAGUCGGAGAAGAAGCCCCGGCUAACUUCGUG